GCGACCCCAGUCAGGCGGGAUCACCCGCUGAGUUU
rnacentral:rRNA from 1 species